rnacentral:rRNA from 1 species
GCGGCGCUACACAUGCAGUCGAACGAUGAAGCCUUUCGGGGUGGAUUAGUGGCGAACGGGUGAGUAACACGUGGGCAAUCUGCCCUUCACUCUGGGACAAGCCCUGGAAACGGGGUCUAAUACCGGAUAACACUCUGUCCCGCAUGGGACGGGGUUAAAAGCUCCGGCGGUGAAGGAUGAGCCCGCGGCCUAUCAGCUUGUUGGUGGGGUAAUGGCCUACCAAGGCGACGACGGGUAGCCGGCCUGAGAGGGCGACCGGCCACACUGGGACUGAGACACGGCCCAGACUCCUACGGGAGGCAGCAGUGGGGAAUAUUGCACAAUGGGCGAAAGCCUGAUGCAGCGACGCCGCGUGAGGGAUGACGGCCUUCGGGUUGUAAACCUCUUUCAGCAGGGAAGAAGCGAGAGUGACGGUACCUGCAGAAGAAGCGCCGGCUAACUACGUGCCAGCAGCCGCGGUAAUACGUAGGGCGCAAGCGUUGUCCGGAAUUAUUGGGCGUAAAGAGCUCGUAGGCGGCUUGUCACGUCGGAUGUGAAAGCCCGGGGCUUAACCCCGGGUCUGCAUUCGAUACGGGCUAGCUAGAGUGUGGUAGGGGAGAUCGGAAUUCCUGGUGUAGCGGUGAAAUGCGCAGAUAUCAGGAGGAACACCGGUGGCGAAGGCGGAUCUCUGGGCCAUUACUGACGCUGAGGAGCGAAAGCGUGGGGAGCGAACAGGAUUAGAUACCCUGGUAGUCCACGCCGUAAACGUUGGGAACUAGGUGUUGGCGACAUUCCACGUCGUCGGUGCCGCA